AUGUAAUGGAAACAGAAGGCAUAUACAAACCAAUGGGACAGUCAAUCGCAUCUGACUGUCUUAAGGUAGUUGAAAUCAAAUGUGUAUAUUUCGAUAGGAGUGUUCACAAAAUUCUGAAGAUCCUGACUACUUAUGGCAUACGACUUGAGCAAAUUAAUAUCCAACAUACCAACAAAAUUUCUGGAUCUGGAUGUUUCAGUUUUGUCUGUACUGGUUUCAGCGAAAACUAGAGUUGUCUAGGUAUGACGUCCUGCGGUGGGGCUACAGGAAGAAGCCACAUACUCGUGGCAGCUAUCUGCACUGGAGGAGAGGUACUCCACCACAUUCAUUCAGUGUGCUGUUCACAAGUCCUUGUUGGUCCCCCACUGCUGCUCCUCGUCGUUCAAAAGCCUUUCCCGCUAAUGGUUUUGUACUCCAAACCAGACCAUUGCAGUGUUUGUUCUGUGUUGGUAGGGCUGCAGGCGGCACCGGCAAAGUGACCCUAUGUGUAAACCGCUAGUGCAAACUGCUGUAGCGCAUCCCUAUGUGUUGGCAAUGCUUCCGAUCGAUGUAAGAAAACCAUUGCGCUAGUUCCGGUUAAAGAAUCCCUCAAUUUCCAAACUGGGCUAUUGUAUUGCCAUGUUGCUAAGAAGCAGAUCAAGUUGCUCGGAAAUGCAGGAAUGAAAA